GGGUCUUCCCUUUCUUGCUUACUCUUUCACUCUUUCUAGAGAAGUUUGGAUUAAGUUGGUUUAAAACUAGUCUUGUUUAAUCGAUCUCGAAGAGAAAUUUUUUUUGUGUGUCUCACUUGCUCUAAAUGUAAUAGUUUUGUCCCCAACGUUAAAUCAAGAGCGUGGAUGAGCAGAAUAGGGUCCUAAAGCCCAACAAAUGGGGCAAACUCCAAUACAACAAAGUGCAAUUUCAAAUCUUUUAAAAACUACUCUUGUCUUAGGAGUGGUGACUGAAGAGUUGCUGGAACGAUCAAGCAAUGAAAAAGAUGCCCCACAGAAAGUGAUCUGCCUUUAUUCUACUUUGCUUAUCGAGACAGUAAAAAAGAAAGCCAAACAGGGACCUGCGCGGAAACGCACAGGUGGAAUGCCCAAGAAAGAACACAUAUACCCUAUGGGUGGAUAUGCAUGUUUAUGAGAACAUUACCAAGAGUAGUUUGCCCUGUGAGAACAUGUGGACAUGAAGUACCACUGCCCAUGGUACUUUAAUCACCAGUAAGCAUACCUGGAUGACCCUGCAUUUGUAGCUGUCACAUUCACGGUGAUUCUAGGUGCAGGACCAAGGAUCUGACUAUUUUUAUUAUGUCUUCUCCUGUAGAUUUGCCAGAGUACUUUAAAUAUUAAAAUGCAUAUUCAUUUUAUUAUGAAUUACUUUUAUUCUUCCUGUAUAUUAACGACAGCAGUACAGUGAUUUAACAGUCUUGUACAUAGAUUAUUUGACUCUGAAAUUUAUUUCACGAUGUUAAAAGCACUGUGUAAUAUUUGCUAUAGUAGCAAGUGAUUAGAUAUUUAUGGUCAGCUAAAAUAAAAAUGAAUAAUUAGUUUUUAUUACAUUAGACUAAUUCUCUCAAUAAUUUGAACCCUAUCUCUUGUAUUGUUGUACAGAGCAAAGAAUACUUGUUUUAUUUUCCAUUAUGUUUGUUCCACAAAUACUGUUUGUCUAUGAUGUUAUUCACUGUGAAAUAACUAAGAGGAAGGGGAUCUUCUAAUUAAAAUACUAUACUGAAUAUUCAUCCUUGAUUUCUCACUUAGAAAUCACUUUAGAAAUGAACUGUAGCCAAUUUCAAGGCAGUAACGGCAGCACAAAUGGUCAAAAGGAUUAGAAACCCUAAAUAUGAAGGAUGAGACUAUAAAUCAUAUGAGAAAGAUCAAAUUGCUGAAAUGUAUCAUUUGUUUUCCCCAAAGACUACAUAUUUAAGAAAAGUGUCUUAUAAUGGAACAGACAUAGAAGAAAGUUAUAUUCAUAUAAUAGCUUUUAGAAAUUUAACAAAAAAUGAUUGAAAAGGUACUGAAAGUAGAAUGCUCAAAGAACAGAAUAGGAUCUCUGUCAUGUACACUGCUUUUAUUUCUCCCUGUCCUAACUCCAACCCCAAUGUUUCUUACAAGUUAGCUUUGUCCAAAACCCUCAGUAUUUGAUCUCAGGGCUUAGGAUUGUUUUUGAGGGGGGUUGAAGAUGGGGAAAAAUGAUGCCAAAGUAUGCUAGUAAAUUAGCACCCCAAAUCCUGAUGUUUAUUUUUGCAGAUGUAAACUACUCUGAAGUUGUGUUUCAUUUUAUGUAGCAGUUGUCUUAAGAAGUUCCAUGUGAAUAAAAUUUUGGUUUGUUUUGCUGUUGGAGACAUAACCCAUGUCAAGGACAAGCACAAGCUCUAUCACUGAGUGGCACCCCCAGCCCUAUAAGUAGAAUAUUUUUAAAUGAAGUAGUUUAUUUACCUUUUUCAUGAUUCCCUUCAUAGAAAGAAUAAUUUUAAGAAAGCAAAUCUUCAUUCUUCGAUGGUGCAAACACACACACACACACACACACACACACACAUACAGGAAUCAGACAGGUUAGAGAUGAAGUUUAGUGAUAAACAAUAAAUAAUGAACACUUAGCAGACGGACAGGCAGCCUGUAGAGUAACAUACCACCAAAAGAUAAAUCAGAAGAAUUUCUUGGUUAGUCAUUCACUAUUCCAAUUACUGGGAGUCACUUUAUUUUACAUGGUCCCAGACCAAAAGGUCAGAGAAUAAUUUCAACCAUCUAUGCACAAUUGACAUGAUAGGUUCUAUUUAGAAUAGGGAAUGCCACUGUUCACAAAGUUAUCUUUAAAUGUGAAGGAUCUUUCAAAAAUCUUUAUUUCAGUGGGAAAAAUGCCAACAUAUGCCCACUUCUUCUCACCAUGCACACCAGUACCCAAAAAGAAUGCAUUUCUAAAGCAAAAGGUAAUGAAUAAACUUUGUGAGUUCUCAUGAUAAAGGAGGAAAGAAGCUAGAAAGAUAUAAAACACAUUAACAUUAACAGGGUAACAUGUCUAUGGUACUUUCAAAAUGACAAGGCUUGAUUUAAAAAAUUGAUCUUUAACAAGAAAAAGAAGUAUGGGCAAUUAGGAGGUAAUGAAGACGUUGUCAAUAUAGCUAUGUUGAUAAUAACAGGUAAGGGAAUUCUGGAGAAUAUCUAAUAUAUAAAAAUCAGGGGGUCUGUAAUAUGCAUUAUUGAGUCCCAGUGGGAUUAGCUGAUGAAUUUAUGAGCUCACCAGCAGUUAUUUUUAGAAAGUUACAAAGAAUCAGAAAAAUAUCAGAGCACUGAAAAAUAAUGUGCCUUCUAAAAAGAAAUAUAUAUAUAUAUAUAUAUAUAUAUAAAACCACUAAGUUUUAUUGAAAAGUGAAUUCUAGAAUUU
rnacentral:lncRNA from 1 species